rnacentral:rRNA from 1 species
GGGCCCGCACAAGCAGUGGAGCAUGUGGUUUAAUUCGAUGCAACGCGAAGAACCUUACCAGGCCUUGACAUCCUCGGAACUUUCUAGAGAUAGCUAUUUCUUCGGACCACUUACAAGGUGCUGCAUGGUUGUCGUCAGCUCGUGCCGUGAGGUGUCAGGUUAAGUCCUAUAACGAGCGCAACCCCUGUUGUUAGUUGCCAGCGAGUCAUGUCGGGAACUCUAACGAAACUGCCAGUGCAAACUGUGAGGAAGGUGGGGAUGACGUCAAAUCAUCACGGCCCUUACGUCCUGGGCUACACACGUGCUACAAUGGCCGGUACAGAGAGCAGCCACUUCGCAAGAAGGAGCG